GGCACUGCCUCACCCUGCCACAGGCCCACACUGUUUAUCUGGACCCUGAGGGGGUCAGGCACCUGGCCUAACCUAUGAUAGGCUCUGCUUAGGAGAACCAGCCAACCAGCCAACCCAAUCACAUGCAAGUGAUUAAUUGACUAAGUGGCAGGACAGCAGUUAUUUAUCUAAGGAACACCUGGGUCUCAUAAAGGGUUAUGAGGGUUUAGUCAAAUUCUAGGAGAGAGAGAAAGAAAAUAAAUAAAUAAAUAAAAAAGGUCCUCAGGAAAAGGACUUCUUAUGGGAGGGGUGAGAGAUCUCACUAGGAAAAGGAAUCUAGCAAAGGUAUUCCUAGAGAAAAGAGGUUCUUGAAGGGGAGCUAUGAGGGACAAGCCUUUAGGGAGGGACUUUUCCAGACAGGGGGUCCAGAUUACAGAAUAAUUAUACAUUGCUCCAGAGAAGAGCUGCACCAGUUUGACCUCUGCCAGGACCCUAAGUCCAGGGAAUGAAUGUUCUUCAGUUGAAGGAGACUCUAUCCCAUCCUGAUGGACAGUGACCUGGCCUUGAUCAUUCACACCUUCACCAUGUCCUACCUGGAGUCCAGCAGUGCGGCAUGAAUCUAUCAGCCCUUAGGAAACUCCAGCUGGUACAGUAUCCGGUGGCACAUCUCCUCAGUGAUACAGGCUACCAGGGGCAAAUCAAACCUGUCUUGCCCACAGAAAAUCAAAUCAAGUUCAGUGGCCUGUGCCCAGCAUAUCUAAGAGUCACAGGAUGGUCGACUUCUCUGCUCCUCAGGCACAAGGGGAAGCUCAUCUGUGCAGGAGACUGAGCUUUCUCAGAGACUGGUCUGAGACUGAGGACUGAACUCCCAAAGGACUAUAACAAACCUCCCCACCUUCUGUUGUAAGAGCAAAGUGCACUUCUUCAACCUGCCUUUUGUUUUAUAAGUACUUAGUAGCAUAUACAUUUAAAAACAAGAAUAUCCAAAUGCCUACUAAAAGAAAACACAACCUUGUACUCACAGUUCUACCCCCAGAGGGGAGGAUAAGGGAGAACAAACUACAUGACAGAUGGUAGUCACAUCACUUAAUGCACGCUCGAUACAAUGGUGAUGAGGAUGAUAUUAGAACCAGUAUAGAAUAAAAUACUUGUACACCUGUGAGAUGCAAAAUGUCAUCUUCACCGAUCGACCGAGGCACCAAGCUGUGUACGCUACGUGUUCCUGAUGCACAGGCAAGGAUUUAAAAAGAACCUUGCAUAAACUAGUGAGGGUGUCACUACUUCACCAUGGCUACCCUUGAAAUCCAUACCAUCACUGAUGCUUGUACUGUACUUUUCACAAACAAAGCACUUCACAAAUGCAUUAUAAAGUUCUUGAAGAUUAGUUUGGAGAUAAAUAAGUAUCAUCCCCAAUUUAUAAUUUGGGGAAAUAGGCUGAAGUGGGUUCCUGUAGGCUACUGGAGGAAUUGAUACUUCGCCUGUUUUGGUUCAUUGGAUUGGCCAUCUCCAAAAUUGAGAGGAAAGUGCAAUUAAACUUGGGCAGAUUGGACUUUGAGAGCUUUAUUAUUUUAUUUAUUUAUGUCAAAACCAGGAUAUUGUUAGGGUCUAAUCACCAGCAUCUAACCUGUCAAACAUAGUAUAUAAAGAGAAGUCUGAUGAGAAAUGUUACGUAAACAAGGGCCAAUGGAGAUUAGGUCUCUCAAGCCACAGUGGAGCUGGUAAUGUGUUUAGCAUUAUCCAUGUCAUCUUUCCAUCACCAGUGAACUCAGAAAAUGAGUUAUCAGUCAUCUCAAACAUGAUCGGGAACUGUUAAUAUCCAACUAUGCUACUUUUGCAGCAGGAGAGACCUCUUUAAUU